UAUAAGGGAUUUUGAGUUUUUGUUUGCAAUGUUUGAUCACUCGUCUUAUUUAAUUUUUUUUUGAAAUUAUUAUUUAUUUUAUUUGUGACUUGCUUUAUUAUCUACACUACUUUAAGCAUAACUUUUCGUUUUUUAUAUUUGCAAAAGUAAUUUUAAUAAGAUGAGUGGUCAAACGUUGUAAGCAAAAACUCAAAAUCACUUAUA
rnacentral:pre_miRNA from 1 species